AUACGGAGGAUGCGAGCGUUAUCCGGAUUUAUUGGGUUUAAAGGGUGCGUAGGUGGUAGAUUAAGUCAGCGGUGAAAGUUUGUCGCUCAACGAUAAAAUUGCCGUUGAUACUGGUUUACUUGAGUAUAGUUGAAGUAGGCGGAAUGCGUGGUGUAGCGGUGAAAUGCUUAGAUAUCACGAAGAACUCCGAUCGCGAAGGCAGCUCACCGGGCCGGAACUGACACUGAUGCUCGAAAGUGCGGGUAUCAAACAGGAUUAGAUACCCUGGUAGUCCGCACAGUAAACGAUGAAUACUCGCUGUUUGCGAUACACUGUAAGCGGCCAAGCGAAAGCGUUAAGUAUUCCACCUGGGGAGUACGCCGGCAACGGUGAAACUCAAAUGAAUUGGCGGGG
rnacentral:rRNA from 1 species